AGUCGACGCUUCUUUUCCCACCGGAGCUUGCUCCACCGGGAAAAGAGGAGUGGCGAACGGGUGAGUAACACGUGGGUAACCUGCCCAUCAGAAGGGGAUAACACUUGGAAACAGGUGCUAAUACCGUAUAACAAUCGAAACCGCAUGGUUUCGUUUUGAAAGGCGCUUUACGGUGCCGCUGAUGGAUGGACCCGCGGUGCAUUAGCUAGUUGGUGAGGUAACGGCUCACCAAGGCCACGAUGCAUAGCCGACCUGAGAGGGUGAUCGGCCACAUUGGGACUGAGACACGGCCCAAACUCCUACGGGAGGCAGCAGUAGGGAAUCUUCGGCAAUGGACGAAAGUCUGACCGAGCAACGCCGCGUGAGUGAAGAAGGUUUUCGGAUCGUAAAACUCUGUUGUUAGAGAAGAACAAGGGUGAGAGUAACUGUUCACCCCUUGACGGUAUCUAACCAGAAAGCCACGGCUAACUACGUGCCAGCAGCCGCGGUAAUACGUAGGUGGCAAGCGUUGUCCGGAUUUAUUGGGCGUAAAGCGAGCGCAGGCGGUUUCUUAAGUCUGAUGUGAAAGCCCCCGGCUCAACCGGGGAGGGUCAUUGGAAACUGGGAGACUUGAGUGCAGAAGAGGAGAGUGGAAUUCCAUGUGUAGCGGUGAAAUGCGUAGAUAUAUGGAGGAACACCAGUGGCGAAGGCGGCUCUCUGGUCUGUAACUGACGCUGAGGCUCGAAAGCGUGGGGAGCAAACAGGAUUAGAUACCCUGGUAGUCCACGCCGUAAACGAUGAGUGCUAAGUGUUGGAGGGUUUCCGCCCUUCAGUGCUGCAGCUAACGCAUUAAGCACUCCGCCUGGGGAGUACGACCGCAAGGUUGAAACUCAAAGGAAUUGACGGGGGCCCGCACAAGCGGUGGAGCAUGUGGUUUAAUUCGAAGCAACGCGAAGAACCUUACCAGGUCUUGACAUCCUUUGACCACUCUAGAGAUAGAGCUUCCCCUUCGGGGGCAAAGUGACAGGUGGUGCAUGGUUGUCGUCAGCUCGUGUCGUGAGAUGUUGGGUUAAGUCCCGCAACGAGCGCAACCCUUAUUGUUAGUUGCCAUCAUUUAGUUGGGCACUCUAGCAAGACUGCCGGUGACAAACCGGAGGAAGGUGGGGAUGACGUCAAAUCAUCAUGCCCCUUAUGACCUGGGCUACACACGUGCUACAAUGGGAAGUACAACGAGUCGCGAAGUCGCGAGGCUAAGCUAAUCUCUUAAAGCUUCUCUCAGUUCGGAUUGUAGGCUGCAACUCGCCUACAUGAAGCCGGAAUCGCUAGUAAUCGCGGAUCAGCACGCCGCGGUGAAUACGUUCCCGGGCCUUGUACACACCGCCCGUCACACCACGAGAGUUUGUAACACCCGAAGUCGGUGAGGUAACCUUUUGGAGCCAGCCGC
rnacentral:rRNA from 1 species